UGGAAAAAAUGGGUCGAUAUUUUCUGCAAAUGCCACUCAUAUCAAUGCUAUAAAUAACAGGAUAAAUUGUUUGUAGUCAAUCACAUAUAUAUCUCUUCAUCACUAUCAAACUAGUAUUUUUUUAAGAUUUAUCGUAGAAAUGGCUCAGAUAUAUCCUUUUCGUCCUAACAGCAGCAGGAUAGAAUUAGCAAGGCCGGUAAUUAGCUUCUAUUUGAAUAGAGAGUUUGAAAGUGAUGAUGACGACGAUGAUGAUGGAGCAAAAGUGGCACCCGCGGCAUAACUUCUUCUUAUUCAAAAGCCGUCGGUGCUGCUGCGCGCGUUUCGGGGCGAUUCAAAAUUAUCUGAACGAUUCUUCCAUUCCGUGAAGGCCGAUCUCGAACGCUAUAGGUGUGGGAGCGAUCUUGAUCAAAGAAGGCUAAGACAGCUAUUUCAACUGCAUUCCUUAUUACAAAGAAAUCAACCUCGAUUCUUUCCGUUGAUAUCUGUAUUAAAUAGAGUGUUUUAAAAAAAAAAUAUUUAAGUCUUUCUUAGUACUC